CAUGUUUAAAACCCAANGGAAUUGGCGGUGCUAUAAUCCAACUAGGGGAACUUGUCCCUUGAUUCGAUNAUCCACGANAAUCUCACUUACUCUAGCAAUCAGUUUGUAUACCGUCGUCUAGCCGGCCNNUCANGAGCAUAGAAGCUAGCAAAAGAGGUUAAUCCCUANAAAGACAGAUAAAGGUGCAGCCAAUGGGUAAGGGAAGGAUGCGUNACAAUUAAAAAUUUGAUAGUGGAAUUUUAAUGAAAUUUUUAAAUGAAAGAGGACUUAGAAGUAAUUNUUAGAANAAACUAAUAAUGAAUUGUUUUAGGCUCUAUAGUGUGUAC
rnacentral:rRNA from 1 species